GGUUCCAUAGAGUAGUGGUUAAUACGUCUGCUUUACACACAGAAGGUCUUGGGUUAAAGCCCCAGCGGAGUCA
rnacentral:tRNA from 1 species